rfam:Brachybacterium faecium DSM 4810 strain 6-10, complete genome.
GCGCCCGUAGCUUAACGGAUAGAGCAUCUGACUACGGAUCAGAAGGUUGGGGGUUCGAAUCCCUCCGGGCGCA